CGGAUGUAAAUAUCAUGUCUGCCAUCAGUGAGGGAUCGCAGUGGAGUUCGAGUCAAGAGCUGCCCGGAAAGCGCUCAGAGUUGGGGCUUCAAGGAGGCCUGUCAAAGAACAAAAGAUGAGAUUACUGGGGCGGCAAGGUGCCCCAAACCGCCUAAGAACUGCGCCUCCGCGCUUCCUGUUAACUUGCCGCCAAGUUUUUCUAGAGGAGUCGCUCCUUUUGGCAGGGUAGAUCUACUGGAUUCUUGGCACAGUACCAUAUGGACCUGGACAAAGCAUUGUUAAGAUUGUAGCCAAUGUGAAGAUUGUCAGAAUUCACAGAAGCACAACAUACGGCCUACCUGGGCUUUACUCUCGUGCGACUGAACAAGCAAAAUCUUUGGGCUUCAGUUUUUCAUCAUCUGUUACAUCAUGCUAAUAUUCCCCUUUACAUUUCUUAAAAAUUCUCAAAUGAGAGGGGUGCCUAGGUGGCUCAGUCAGAUGGCUACCCCAGAUGACCCAACUCAAUUUAUUGAAUAAUCCAUACUUUCCUCCACUGACUUGAGAUGCUACCUUUAUUACAUAUUAAAUUCCAUAUAUGAUUAGGUUUCUUUUUGGAAUUUCUCUUGUUUCAUUGAACUGUCAGCUCAUUUGCCAGUAGUACAGUGACUUACUUAUUACAGGUUUGUAAUAUAUUUUAAUGUGUCAAAGAGCUUGUCUCCCCUUGGUAGCCUUUUUCAGAAUUUUCCUUUUUAUUCUUGUUGAGUUCAUUGUAAAAAAUUGGCUUGUGAGGUUAAUUUAUAGAUGAAUGUAAGAAUUGUCACCUUUAUCAUGUUGAUGCUUCCUGUCUUAAGAAUAUGGCAUGACUGGGGCACCUGGAUGGCUCAGUCAGUUAAGCAUGUCUUCGGCUCAGGUCAUGAUCUCAGGGUCCUGGGAUGGAGCUCCAUGCCUGGCUCCCUGCUCAUUGGGGAGCCUGCUUCCCUUCUCUCUCUCUGCCCCUCCCCACCACUUGUGUUCUCUCUCUCAAGUAAAUGAACAAAAUCUUAAACAAAUAUGGCAUGACCUGUUCAAGUAUUCUUUUGUGUCACUCACAAAUAUUUCAAGUUUUCUUCAUAUCAAUCUUGCACAUGUCUUAAUGUUUAUUGCUAGACAUUUUAUCUUCUUUGGUGCCAUUAUAAUUGAUUAUAUCUUUCAUUAAAUCUAACUGCUAGCUGUUUGCAUAUAUGAAAGCUAUUUUAAUUAUGCACCCAAUUUACUGAAUUCGCUUACUGUCUGUCGUAGUUUUUCAGUUGGUUAUCUUGGAGUUUCCGGGUGUACAAUCAUAUCUACAAAUAGUGGCAAUUUUACCUCCUCCUUUUCAAUUAUUUUUUUUAAGAUUUUAUUUAUUUAUUUGACAGAGAGAGAGAGAUCACAAGGAAGCAGAGAGAGAGUGGGAAGCAGGCUCCCUGCUGAGCA